AUGAGCGGUGACAAGGAACAAGCGUCUUCCUCGUUGGACACUGGUAAAGACUAUAGCUUGAACAACAAACAUGUGUGCGCGAGAAAUGGCAAAAGAAAGGCCGCGGGAGACAACACCAAGAAACACCCAAGAAAAACAAAAGGAAUGUGGACCAGGAUAAAAAAUCAGUGGCUGACCAAAAACGUAAGUAGCAAGCAGCCUGGGUUUUAUAUUCAGGGGAAGGGCAAAAGGAACAUCUAGGCUACAGAAGAGAGUAAUUUGUGUCACAGCGGUAGUAAAACAAGAUUUGCGUUUGUCUGUUUAGGUGAAUUCGAAGCCAGAUAUGUGGAGGAGCACCAGCUCGGAGAAGGAGGCUGCGGAGCAGUGUUUGCUGGCUACCGGAUAGAAGAUCGUUUUCCUGUAAGUGUUCAGGCGAUGGUAGUAAGACAGGCAGUAACGCAGAUAAUGUAUAAUAUCGUAAGCUGAGAGGUGUGCUGUGUUUCCACCUUUAAUUAUGUCAUACUGAGGAAAUGCUCACCAAUGCUCUGUGUCUUUUAGGUAGCCAUCAAACACAUUCCCAAAAAUAAAGUGUACUGCAAAGUGGCGGUAAGUGUCCAACACUUGAAUCAGUUUUACAUUACUGGAUUGAAUGCGGCGUUCCUCAUCAUCCACUUGGUAAUAUUUCAGGAUGAAAGCGGGAAGAAGCUCUCUGUGGAAGUGGCCAUUAUGCUGAAACUUGCAGGUGAAGCAGAAGGGUCAGUGGGAACAUCAGCACCUGUGUCCUUGCUGGAGUGGUUCGACAUUGGCAGAGAACUGAUACUGGUGCUGGAGAGACCUGUCCCUGCUGUGGACCUGCAAAAAUAUAAAGCAGAAAAUGGAGGAUCUUUACCAGAGGACAAGGCCAAGGUAGGUUGACUGGAAGAACCUCAGACUGUACAGCAUACAAUCAAGGCGGAGAGUAAUAGAGAAGCAUUAACCCAUUGACUCAUUAUUGUGUUUUUCAUCUUUUCCAGGUCAUUCUGAAGCAACUAGUUGGUGUGGACCCACCACGGUGUGGCAAAUGGGAGUGGUGUUGUAUGAAGCGCUUCAUCCACGGGACUUUAAUACCACGAGGUUCCUCAGAAAGAAACUCAAAAAGCAUCUGUCCACAGGUAGAAAACUUGACACUUCCAG
rnacentral:lncRNA from 1 species